rnacentral:rRNA from 1 species
AUUGAACGCUGGCGGCAGGCCUAACACAUGCAAGUCGAGCGGAUGAAGGGAGCUUGCUCCUGGAUUCAGCGGCGGACGGGUGAGUAAUGCCUAUGAAUCUGCCUGGUAGUGGGGGAUAACGUCCGGAAACGGGCGCUAAUACCGCAUACGUCCUGAGGGAGAAAGUGGGGGAUCUUCGGACCUCACGCUAUCAGAUGAGCCUAGGUCGGAUUAGCUAGUUGGUGGGGUAAAGGCCUACCAAGGCGACGAUCCGUAACUGGUCUGAGAGGAUGAUCAGUCACACUGGAACUGAGACACGGUCCAGGCUCCUACGGGAGGCAGCAGUGGGGAAUAUUGGACAAUGGGCGAAAGCCUGAUCCAGCGAUGCCACGUGUGUGAAGCAGGUCUUCGGAUUGUAAAGCAGUUUAAGUUGGGAGAAAGGGCAGUAAGUUAAUACAUUGCUGUUUUGACGUUACCAACAGAAUAAGCACCGGCUAACUUCGUG